rnacentral:misc_RNA from 1 species
AAGUCGUAACAAGGUUUCCGUAGGUGAACCUGCGGAAGGAUCAUUACAAAGAGAGGGUUUGGGGGGUGGGGGUUAAAGGGCCUUGCUCGGAAGAGCACGGUUCUCUACCCCACUGUCCGCCCACACUAGCACGGGAGCGUCCUGUCUAGACAGGCGCCUCAUGUUUACGCUUGUUUGUUUGACAGAGUAACAAUCGAUAUACCGCUUUAGACAACUUUUAACAAUGGAUCUCUUGGCUCUU